GACGAACCGUGCAACCGUUGUUCGGAAUCACUGGGCUUAAAGGGCGCGUAGGCGGGUUCCCAAGUCGGUGGUGAAAUCUUUCAGCUCAACUGGAAAAGUGCCGCCGAUACUGGGAGUCUUGAGGGAGGUAGGGGUCGAUGGAACUGGUGGUGGAGCGGUGAAAUGCGUAGAUAUCAGGAGGAACACCUGUGGUGUAGACGGCUCUCUGGACCGCAACUGACGCUGAGACACGAAAGCGUGGGUAGCAAACAGG
rnacentral:rRNA from 1 species